rnacentral:rRNA from 1 species
UCAAAACUUUUAACAACGGAUCUCUUGGCUCCAGCAUCGAUGAAGAACGCAGCA